CACGAAGUUAGCCGGGGCUUCUUCUCCGGAUACCGUCAUUAUCUUCUCCGGUGAAAGUGCUUUACAACCCUAAGGCCUUCAUCACACACGCGGCAUGGCUGGAUCAGGCUUGCGCCUAUUGUCCAAUAUUCCCCACUGCUGCCUCCCGUAGGAGUUUGGGCCGUGUCUCAGUCCCAAUGUGGCUGAUCAUCCUCUCAGACCAGCUAUGGAUCGUCGCCUUGGUAGGCCUUUACCCCACCAACUAGCUAAUCCAACGCGGGCCGAUCCUUUACCGAUAAAUCUUUCCCCCGAAGGGCACAUACGGUAUUAGCUCCAGUUUCCCGGAGUUGUUCCGUAGUAAAGGGUACGUUCCCACGUGUUACUCACCCGUCUGCCACUCUCCUUGCGGAGCGUUCGACUUGCAUGUGUUAAGCCUGCCGCCAGCGUUCGUUCUGAGCCAGGAUCAAACUCU
rnacentral:rRNA from 1 species